UCGAUUUGGAGUUUGUUGCCCUGAGUGAUGGGCUCCGAAGCUAACGCGAUAAAUCGACCGCCUGGGGAGUACGGCCGCAAGGUUAAAACUCAAAUGAAUUGACGGGGGCCCGCACAAGCGGUGGAGCAUGUGGUUUAAUUCGAUGCAACGCGAAGAACCUUACCUGGUCUUGACAUCCACAGAAUCUUGCAGAGAUGCGAGAGUGCCUUCGGGAACUGUGAGACAGGUGCUGCAUGGCUGUCGUCAGCUCGUGUUGUGAAAUGUUGGGUUAAGUCCCGCAACGAGCGCAACCCUUAUCCUUUGUCGCCAGCGAUUCGGUCGGGAACUCAAAGGAGGCUGCCGUUGAUAAAGCGGAGGAAGGUGGGGACGACGUCAAGUCAUCAUGGCCCUUACGGCCAGGGCUACACACGUGCUACAAUGGCGUAUACAAAGGGAGGCGACCUCGCGAGAGCAAGCGGACCUCAUAAAGUACGUCUAAGUCCGGAUUGGAGUCUGCAACUCGACUCCAUGAAGUCGGAAUCGCUAGUAAUCGUGAAUCAGAAUGUCACGGUGAAUACGUUCCCGGGCCU
rnacentral:rRNA from 1 species